AUUGAACGCUGGCGGCAGGCCUAACACAUGCAAGUCGAACGAGUGGCGGACGGGUGAGUAAUGUCUGGGAAACUGCCUGAUGGAGGGGGAUAACUACUGGAAACGGUAGCUAAUACCGCAUACCAUCGGAUGUGCCCAGAUGGGAUUAGCUAGUAGGUGGGGUAACGGCUCACCUAGGCGACGAUCCCUAGCUGGUCUGAGAGGAUGACCAGCAACACGGGACCUGAGACACGGUCCAGACUCCAACGGGAGGCAGCGGUGGGGAAUAUUGCACAAUGGGGGAAAGCCUGAUGCAGCCAGGCCGCGUGGAUGAAGAAGGCUUUCGGGUUGUAAAGUACGUUCAGCGGGGAGGCGUUACCCGCAGAAGAAGCACCGGCUAACUCCGUGCCAGCCGCCGCGGUAAUUC
rnacentral:rRNA from 1 species